rnacentral:misc_RNA from 1 species
GAUGAAGAACGUAGCGAAAUGCGAUAAGUAAUGUGAAUUGCAGAAUUCAGUGAAUCAUCGAAUCUCUGAACGCACAUUGCGCCCUCUGGUAUUCCGGGGGGCAUGCCUGUUCGAGCGUCAUUAUAACCACUCAAGCUCUCGCUUGGUAUUGGGGUUCGCGGUUCCGCGGCCCCUAAAAUCAGUGGCGGUGCCUGUCGGCUCUACGCGUAGUAAUACUCCUCGCGAUUGAGUCCGGUAGGUCUACUUGCCAGCAACCCCCAAUUUUUACAGGUUGACCUCGGAUCAGGUAGGGAUACCCGCUGAACUUAAGCAUAUCAAUAAGCGGAGGA